UUUGAUGAUGAAAACUUGAAUAGGAAGUGCCGUCAGAUGCGAGAACUGACGAUAAUCUAUUUAAUUCUGACU
rnacentral:snoRNA from 13 species